rnacentral:rRNA from 1 species
UACGUAGGGUGCAAGCGUUGUCCGGAAUUAUUGGGCGUAAAGAGCUCGUAGGCGGUUCGUCGCGUCGGCUGUGAAAAACCUGAGGCUCAACCUCAGGCCUGCAGUCGAUACGGGCGGACUUGAGUACUGCAGGGGGAGACUGGAAUUCCUGGUGUAGCGGUGAAAUGCGCAGAUAUCAGGAGGAACACCGGUGGCGAAGGCGGGUCUCUGGGCCGAUACUGACGCUGAGGAGCGAAAGCAUGGGUAGCGAACAGG